rnacentral:rRNA from 1 species
ACGAACGCUGGCGGCGUGCCUAACACAUGCAAGUCGAGCGGAGAGAUUGUCGUAUUUAUAUGACAUGAUCUUAGCGGCGGACGGGUGAGUAACACGUGGGUAACCUGCCUCAAAGUGGGGGAUAGCCUUUCGAAAGGAAGAUUAAUACCGCAUAAGAUUGUAGCACUACAUGGUGCAGCAAGAAAAGGAGCAAUCCGCUUUGAGAUGGACCCGCGGCGCAUUAGCUAGUUGGUGAGGUAACGGCUCACCAAGGCCACGAUGCGUAGCCGACCUGAGAGGGUGAUCGGCCACAUUGGAACUGAGAUACGGUCCAGACUCCUACGGGAGGCAGCAGUGGGGAAUAUUGCACAAUGGGCGAAAGCCUGAUGCAGCAACGCCGCGUGAGUGAUGAAGGCUUUCGAGUCGUAAAGCUCUUUGAUCAGGGAUGAUAAUGACAGUACCUGAAAAACAAGCCACGGCUAACUACGUG